GGUCCGAUGGUGUAGUUGGUUAUCACUUCUGUCUAACAGAUCGCUGCUUUCUUAAGUAACCGAUGUUAACACAGGCGGUCCUCAGUUCGAACCUGGGUCGGAUCA